GACGAACGCUGGCGGCGUGCUUAACACAUGCAAGUCGAGCGAGGCCCUUCCUUCGGGAAGGUGUCCUAGCGGCGAACGGGUGAGUAACACGUGGGCAACCUGCCCUUGGCUCUGGGAUAAGCCCGAGAAAUCGGGUCUAAUACCGGAUACGACACGAGAUGGCAUCUUCUUCGUGUGGAAAGAACUUCGGCCAAGGAUGGGCCCGCGGCCUAUCAGCUUGUUGGUGGGGUAAAGGCCUACCAAGGCGACGACGGGUAACCGGCCUGAGAGGGCGACCGGUCACACUGGGACUGAGACACGGCCCAGACUCCUACGGGAGGCAGCAGUGGGGAAUAUUGCACAAUGGGCGAAAGCCUGAUGCAGCGACGCCGCGUGAGGGAUGACGGCCUUCGGGUUGUAAACCUCUUUCACCCAUGACGAAGCGAAAGUGACGGUAAUGGGAGAAGAAGGACCGGCCAACUACGUGCCAGCAGCCGCCGUAACAC
rnacentral:rRNA from 1 species